UACGUAGGUGGCAAGCGCUGUCCGGAAUUACUGGGCGUAAAGGGCGUGUAGGUGGUCAAACAAGUCAGAUGUGAAACCCCGGAGCUUAACUUCGGGCAUGGAUAUGAAACUGUAUGACUUGAGGGCAAGAGAGGAAAGUGGAAUUCCUAGUGUAGCGGUGAAAUGCGUAGAUACUAGGAGGAACACCAGUGGCGAAGGCGACUUUCUGGAUUGACCCUGACACUGAGGCGCGAAAGCGUGGGGAGCAAACAGGAUUAGAUACCCCUGUA
rnacentral:rRNA from 1 species